UUCAAAAAACCCCUCUUCGGCGCCCAAAUCUUCUCCACGACGCCUUUCUUCCUCUUCCUACCAUUUCCCCUCUCGCUUUGGAGGCGCCGUCGACGCUCUCGAUAACCCGACAAACCCUAGUCUCCGAUGGCUCACUUCACGGAUCGUUGAGUUCUAGGAUGGCGGCGGCCGCUCGAUCUGAUCGAUGGUAGAUCGCUGACAAACGAAACCAUCGAAACGUCACCGAGACUCGUCUCCUAUGGCUCAUGUCUCGUGUCGUUCAACCUCUUGCAAUAGCCGGCAGGGUGCGUUCUAUCUUCCUCUUCUUUAUCGGGACGCUGUCGGUUUCUUGGGUUCUUUUGAAUUCUGAGGUGUUCAUGGGAGCGGAUCGUCAAGGAUGUCGUUUUCAUGCAGUAACGAAACGGUGGGCCACUUCCUGAAGGUCCCUACGAAACCCUUGAAGCCCCACGGAUAAGGUCUCAGCUCGUCGAGCUCUCGCGACGGUGGCUUCUCGAUCUAAUUACUAUCUCCCUUUCAUUUCUUGAUUAGGAUUGUGUCCGUUAUUGAGUGCUUUUGAGUUUUAAGAUGUUCUUGGGAGCCGAUCUUCGAGGAAGCAAUCGCCGUAGCGGCAUGCAAGGCUCAUACAGCUCGCCGUUUUCUUGAUGGCGCCGACAAAACCCUUGAAACGGCAAUUCCCGCUGGCUCACGUUUCGGAUAGUCGUGCUUCCGACGCAGCAACUUGUUAAGAUUCUACACGCUGGGUGCUUGAGGAUACGUCCAGGCUGGAUGGCUUCUGUAGCAAUAGAAUCCUUAUCUUUAUCUUAAAGCUGGAUGGCUGCAGUGUGGAUCAAGUCUUCUUCUGGAUCUUGUUAAAGGUAAAUAUAGAGUUGUAAUCUAUUGCUCAGGCUAUUGAUCAGUGAAAAGGAAAAGCAAA